AAAAAAAAAAUCCCUCUAGUAUAGAGGACCGCGUUUCCAAGUUCAACACGAAAUCAUAACGGGUCUCCAGUGAUAUCGUCUCAAUUCGGAUUUCACAGUUGAACAAGGCAGUAGCAUUCAGUUAGCAUCAACUAGCAAUUCUCCAGAUGACUGCAGAGUAUUCAUUAAUACCAGAUAUACUAAGGCUUUGGAAGGGCAUAGAGUCUCACCGUUCCCAACCCUUCAACUUGCACCGUUUUGGCCUCCUUUUACGUCAAAACGGGCCACCCUGUUUUGACCUUUAUGUGUUAAAAUGCACCGAAUUUUAAUUUCACCCUUUUGACUUGUCUGCACUACAACGCACCGUUUUAUUUAGAACGUGAAGAGGCAUGGGGGGGCUUCAGGCUUGGUAGGUGGUGUGUCACUGUGUCUCCUUCUCUCAGUCUGUACCUGGGCCCAGAUCCCGAAGACCAAAAGGGUGAUCCGAUGGUGGAGGAGGGGCGGGGGUGCUGGGGUUCCAGAAACGUGACUGAGCCAUAAGAUGCAACAGUGGGCGUCGGCAUGGUAAAAGAGCCCAGAUAUGUAGGAUUCGUAAGAUCUCAUCUCAUGUCUUUUUGGAAUGAGUGCGAGCAUUUUCAGUCAGUUUCUUAAGGUUGGUGAAGAAUCUCUGAUACCGUGUGAGUGCGACACUCACUGAAUUUUCCCAUUUACAGUAAAAUAAUUUCCCAUUCUUUCUCUCGGGCCAUGGGCGAACUUGGGACAAUGGCGUGCCAUUUACGAAAGAUACCAGAUGCUGCUACUACUGCUUACUACUACUACCUACUACCAUUAUCAAUCUUAUUCCUCAGUCACACCCAAGUUAACACAGAGAUGCCGCUUUUAGGUGAUGGAUGUUUGCACACCCCUUGAGCGCCAUGAGGCUGUCUCCUCAUUUCAGCAUCUUGUAGUUACACCAAACGUCACCCUUUGGUAAGUAAAGUUUGACAGAGGAUCAUACACAAUGAUGGUUACCAACAAUGUGGACCCGACUUGACCCGAUAUAAUAAUCACUGCGCAAAGCCCACCACCAUCCCAUUUCCUCUCCAUCUUCCACCGUCAUUGCCAUCCCAUGGUUGGUCAAUGAUGUGGGGUCCCGACAUUCUCGAGGCAAUCCACGUGUCUCUCUGUCCUGCCAGUCAAAUUCUCAACAAAGUGUAAAACCAUCAUUUCUAUGGUUCCACCCGCGUAACAUUUGGCUCAAACUGGGUGCAUUGGGUGGUCUCAGAUACCCUAGCCUAGAUGUAAAUGAAUCUGUACAUUUUUUUCUCCACAUGAUCGAUAGAGCAUAUUUAGAACUCCAAUGAAUGACAGUAAUUUUUGUA